rnacentral:lncRNA from 10 species
GCCUUAUUGGAAGGACUAUACACAAUUUUCAUGGCCUUUAAACCAAGAGAAGACAUACCUGAGCAAUUGAACCAGAAGGGAUGAGCCCCACCUGGAUCUGAUGCAGAUUAAAAUAUCUUGGACCUUGGGCCUGAGCUUGGAAUGGAAUGAGACCUUUGAGGAUCUUAGUGGGGAAUCCCCUUGUCAUAAAACCAAUGCAUAAGAUACAACUGCAUCCAAUGUAUUCCAGGGAAAGAUUCUCUGCAGAUGACUCAAGGAAAGCCACAGGAGCAACAGGGAAACUGAAAGAACAAAUAUCACAGUUGAUUCAGAAGGGCAGCCCCACAUUUUUAAGUGAUACCCAACCAUUGUGAACAAGCUCUGUCAACACCAUCUGCUCCACAAAGGAAAGUUGCUGAUUAUUGCAUCUCUAAGUGGAGUCGGUUCUCUCCCACGAUAGCAGAAGGUCAGACACUAGACAACCAGGGACUGCUCCUAUACCCUGGGAGAACAAACCAGCAAAUCUGAACCUGCUCACCUUGCCUCACCUGAUUCUUCCCACUGAAAACACAAUAAAGGUUCUUGUCUGCAGCAUCCCCGCUCCCUCUGCCUCCUGACCCACCCUGGUGCUCCCCCAGGUGGCCCCCCAUGGUGUGGCAUGUUCUCUCCUCUUAGGAACUGUGAGUAAUAAACCUUCUGAUGGCAAUCGUCUUCUUAUCUGUUGGCCUUACC